rnacentral:rRNA from 1 species
GAUGAACGCUGGCGGCGUGCCUAAUACAUGCAAGUCGAGCGAACGGACGAGAAGCUUGCUUUUCUGAUGUUAGCGGCGGACGGGUGAGUAACACGUGGAUAACCUACCUAUAAGACUGGGAUAACUUCGGGAAACCGGAGCUAAUACCGGAUAAUAUUUUGAACCGCAUGGUUCAAAAGUGAAAGACGUUCUUGCUGUCACUUAUAGAUGGAUCCGCGCUGCAUUAGCUAGUUGGUAAGGUAACGGCUUACCAAGGCAACGAUGCAUAGCCGACCUGAGAGGGUGAUCGGCCACACUGGAACUGAGACACGGUCCAGACUCCUACGGGAGGCAGCAGUAGGGAAUAUUCCGCAAUGGGCGAAAGCCUGACGGAGCAACGCCGCGUGAGUGAUGAAGGUCUUCGGAUCGUAAAACUCUGUUAUUAGGGAAGAACAUAUGUGUAAGUAACUGUGCACAUCUUGACGGUACCUAAUCAGAAAGCCACGGCUAACUACGUG